GAGUUUGAUCAUGGCUCAGGACGAACGCUGGCGGCACGCCUAACACAUGCAAGUCGAACGGAGAUAUUUUGGUUUACUGAGAUAUCUUAGUGGCGGACGGGUGAGUAACACGUGAGCAACCUGCCUYUGAGAGAGGGAUAGCUUCUGGAAACGGAUGGUAAUACCUCAUAACAUAACGAAGCCGCAUGACUUUGUUAUCAAAGAUUUAUCACUCAGAGAUGGGCUCGCGUCUGAUUAGAUAGUUGGUGAGGUAACGGCUCACCAAGUCGACGAUCAGUAGCCGGACUGAGAGGUUGAACGGCCACAUUGGGACUGAGACACGGCCCAGACUCCUACGGGAGGCAGCAGUGGGGAAUAUUGCACAAUGGGGGAAACCCUGGUGCAGCGAUGCCGCGUGGAGGAAGAAGGUUUUCGGAUUGUAAACUCCUGUCUAAAGGACGAUAAUGACGGUACUAGAGA
rnacentral:rRNA from 1 species